rnacentral:rRNA from 1 species
UACGUAGGGGGCAAGCGUUGUCCGGAAUCAUUGGGCGUAAAGCGCGUGUAGGCGGUUCGGUAAGUCUGCUGUGAAAGUCCAGGGCUCAACCCUGGGAUGCCGGUGGAUACUGUCGGACUAGAGUACGGAAGAGGCGAGUGGAAUUCCCGGUGUAGCGGUGAAAUGCGUAGAGAUCCGGAAGAACACCAGUGGCGAAGGCGGCCCGCUGGGCAGUGGCUGACGCUGAGGCGCGACAGCGUGGGGAGCAAACAGG